GAAGUUGCUGGGAAGGCUUCUCCAUCAGCUUGGAUGAAUAAAGUUUUGAAGCCCUUGGAGCCUCCUGCAGAUGUAUCUACAGGGAGGACUUCUCCAGCUUCUCCAGCUCCUACCUUGGAUGCUAUACGCAAGCCCAGCUCCCAUCACAGUGGUACUCCAACAGGGAAAGUCCAAGAUACAACAGAUAAGAUGUCCCUGCAACCUUCCAAACAGAUGAGGCAAGAGCUGAAGGAACCCCUGCAGACAAGAGAAGGUGG